UCCGGUGGCAAUAACGGAGGUUAAAAACCCGUUCCCAUACCGAACACGGAAGUGAAGCCCUCCAGCGCCGAUGGUACUGAUUACUCGGGAGAGUAGGUCGCUGCCGGUA
rnacentral:rRNA from 1 species